GAUGAACGCUGGCGGCGUGCCUAAUACAUGCAAGUCGAGCGAACAGACGAGGAGCUUGCUCCUCUGACGUUAACGGCGGACGGGUGAGUAACACGUGGAUAACCUACCUAUAAGACUGGGAUAACUUCGGGAAACCGGAGCUAAUACCGGAUAAUAUAUUGAACCGCAUGGUUCAAUAGUGAAAGACGGUUUUGCUGUCACUUAUAGAUGGAUCCGCGCCGCAUUAGCUAGUUGGUAAGGUAACGGCUUACCAAGGCAACGAUGCGUAGCCGACCUGAGAGGGUGAUCGGCCACCCUGGAACUGAGACACGGUCCAGACUCCUACGGGAGGCAGCAGUAGGGAAUCUUCCGCAAUGGGCGAAAGCCUGACGGAGCAACGCCGCGUGAGUGAUGAAGGUCUUCGGAUCGUAAAACUCUGUUAUUAGGGAAGAACAAAUGUGUAAGUAACUAUGCACGUCUUGACGGGACCUAAUCAGAAAGCCACGGCUAACUACGU
rnacentral:rRNA from 1 species